CUUGUAUGUGGAUGAUAUGCUUGUAACGGGUAGUGAUGUUCAGCUGUUAAAAGAAUUUAAGUAGCAGAUGCAAUCUGAAUUUGAAAUGUCAGAUUUGGGAAUGAUGACUUAUUUUUUGGGCACUUUUAUUUCACAAAGAAAAUAUGCUUUAGACAUACUAAAAGAGACUGGCAAGUUAGACUGCAAACAUGUGGAUAUUCCCAUGGAUCCAAAUGUUAAACUUGU
rnacentral:misc_RNA from 1 species